rnacentral:rRNA from 1 species
UGGGGAAUCUUGCACAAUGGGGGAAACCCUGAUGCAGCGACGCCGCGUGAACGAUGAAGCCCUUCGGGGUGUAAAGUUCUUUCGACAGGAACGGUAAUGACGGUACCUGGAGAAGAAGCUGCGGCUAACUACGUGCCAGCAGCCGCGGUAAUACGUAGGCAGCGAGCGUUGUUCGGAGUUACUGGGCGUAAAGAGUGCGUAGGCGGCGAGCCAAGUUUGGUGUGAAAUCUCCCGGCUUAACCGGGAGGGUGCGCCGAAAACUGGUUGGCUGGAGUAUGGGAGAGGAAAGCGGAAUUCCUGGUGUAGCGGUGAAAUGCGUAGAUAUCAGGAGGAACACCUGCGGUGUAGACAGCUUUCUGGACCAAAACUGACGCUGAGGCACGAAAGCGUGGGUAGCAAACA